UCAGGCAAAAAACAUGCAAGUCAUACGGGAAUUUUGAAUUCAAGUGGCGGACGGGUGAGUAACACGUAAGAAUUUACCUUUAGGAGGGGGAUAACAGCUGGAAACGGUUGCUAAUACCCCAUAGGCUUUCGAGUGAAAUGGAUUUUUCCGCCUAAAGAGAAGCUUGCGGCUGAUGAGCUUGUUGGUGAGGUAAUGGCUUACCAAGGCGACGAUCAGUAUCUGGUUUUUGGGGGGGAUCAGACACACUGGAACUGAGACACGGUCCAGACUCCUACGGGAGGCAGCAGUGG
rnacentral:rRNA from 1 species